UAUACCAUAUUUAGCUUAUUGUAAUUAAUCUAUAUCAAAUAGUAUAUCUGACUUAUUUUGUAUUUAUUGUAUUUCCAUUAUUCUUCUAGCCUUACUCACCUAUAUAUAGGGUAUUCUAUAUAUUGUACAUUUAGAUAUAGAGAAAUACAACUUGUUCUCUCUCUUAAUUCCUUUUUAAGCAGUUAUUUAUCAUGGUACAAAGUUAUUGAUUUCCUAGUGUCUCUAGCAGCGUUUCUCCCCAUCUGUAAUAAGUCUCAUACUCAACGUAUUAUUUGAUAUUCAUUUUUGCUCACCAUACAUUUAUUAGAGACUUUCUAAGCACUUAACAGAUUGCUGCCCUCUUUCCCAUCAUCAAUCACAUGCAUCGGUUUGCUCUCAUGUACUGUAUGACUUGUAUACUCGUCAUAUUUGCACAAAUCGCCACCACAGAUUGAUCCUUGAACUAUGGUCAAUUUUUUAUGCAAAAGUACUCUGUUAUGGUCAAACAUGCGCCCCCACACGCUGCCACAAGUUCCAAUGCCCGCUUCGAAAGCCUCUCCUCUUUCCAACCCUGACAGCUCUCUCUCUCAUUUUGGUUCCCUCUCAGUCUCUCUUCUCUCUCUCUCUUCUCCUCAUUGUGUUGCAUCCCUUCGUGCCCUGUAGCGGCGAAGGCCUUGUCUCUUCUCUCUCUCCAUCUACGGCUCUCACUCGCACUCUAACCGUCUCCCAUCAUGCUCUUUCCUACGCCAGAACAUUGCAGCGGUCUCCCCCACCACACACAACUACUGUCAAGCCUCUCAUGCCUCUCAUGCCUCAAACACCAUUCUCUACCUCAUGCCUUAGCCCCAUGUCUCGUUUGCUAUCCUUGUCUCCACCCUGCUCCUGGUCUCGGUCACGAGCACGUUGCUGGUUAAAGGGUUCACCAUUGAGUACGGAGCAUGACAAUCGGCCUUUCAAAGCUUUUGAAUGAAUGGUUUAAAGAUGAAAGAAGACAAAUAGAUCAUCAGACAAAUACAAAUUCUUACCGUUGAGCCAUAACAAUCCAGUAUAAUAAGCUGCGGCACAUGGAGAGAAGAAAUAAAGGAAAUGUUGAAGAAGAAACUAUGGAGCAAGACAUCGUUAGGAAGGGGGAGCUGGAUGCCUAGCCUACACCUAGCCAGUGUUGGGUGUGUAUAUGAUGUUGGGAAUUUUAUUUUGGUUGGUUGUAGUGUGAGACAUGUAUUUUAAGAUAAAAUAUUUUGUGAACCAGGUAGAUGUGUCUACCCAGAAGAUGACUGUAGUUUUAACUUGUAAUUAAGGGGACUGUCCUAUGUUUUGAUAAAUAGGUUAUUUUGGGACUUUGAAAUAUGAUAGAA